UGGAAUUGUUGUCACAGACUCGAGAUCUGAUUGGUUACCGCCUGGCGACACAAGCCUGGUGUAAUAUGAUUGGAUAAAAACUUUACAAUAAUAUACAACAGUCGGAGCGGCGAAACCGAGCGGAUAUAAUAUGACACGAAGAAAACAGACCAUGGAGAAUCAUUUAUGACCUCUCUACAAACAAAAUCUGAGCAUGUUUAGGUUAGCAGAGAACGUUUUGCUGCGUCUGAUGGCCGCCACUGCGUCCGAGUUUGCGUUGCCACGCACGUCCGUGCACGUGCGUCAAAACCAUGGUAACCAGCGCUGAGUUAAUAAAAGGAGCGCAGCUAUGUGAUUUUACACAUUUGCCUCUGGUCUUGGAGACAUUGGCAGCAACACAAAAAUCUGCGACCGUAUUAAUUUGUUUUGCUGGAGCAAUGGAGCGCCACUUGCCCCCGAGGAUCUGGCAGCUCUGGAGAAGGUUCAGACGGUGGAGCCGCCUAGGCAGACAGCGGUGGCAGCCGGAGGGGGUUGCUGUGCACGGUCCACCUAGACUUCCUCCACCUAGACGUCGGAGACCUCGUUGUGACCCACCCACUUCCCACGUUCAGGAAGUUGGUCCCCCCACCUCUGACAUUGAGGUACCCCGCUCUGACCUGCCUUCUUACUUACAUGUUCCACCACGCUGGGGACACACACCACUUCCUCUUUAUUCAGAUCUUUUUCCUUCUUAUCCUCCUCCACGCUCUCCUGUUCCUCCUUCUUCUAUUCCUUCCACACCCCCUCCUCCCUAUUCUCCUGUUCCUUCUUGCUCUUGUGCUCCUCCUCAUUCUCCUCCACGCUCUCCUGUUCCUUCUUCUAUUCCUUCCACACCCCCUCCUCCCUAUUCUCCUCCACGCUCUCCUGUUCCUUCUUCUGUUCCUUCCACACCCCCUCCUCCCUAUUCUCCUCCACGCUCUCCUGUUCCUUCUUCUGUUCCUUCCACACCCCCUCCUCCCUAUUCUCCUCCACGCUCUCCUGUUCCUUCUUCUGUUCCUUCCACACCUCCUCCUCCCUAUUCUCCUGUUCCUUCUUGCUCUUGUGCUCCUCCUCAUUCUCCUCCACGCUCUCCUGUUCCUCCUUCUUCUGUUCCUUCCACACCCCCUCCUCCCUAUUCUCCUCCACGCUCUCCUGUUCCUUCUUCUGUUCCUUCCACACCCCCUCCUCCCUAUUCUCCUCCACGCUCUCCUGUUCCUUCUUCUUCUGUUCCUUCCACACCUCCUCCUCCCUAUUCUCCUGUUCCUUCUUGCUCUUGUGCUCCUCCUCAUUCUCCUCCACGCUCUCCUGUUCCUCCUUCUUCUGUUCCUUCCACACCCCCUCCUCCCUAUUCUCCUCCACGCUCUCCUGUUCCUUCUUCUGUUCCUUCCACACCCCCUCCUCCCUAUUCUCCUCCACGCUCUCCUGUUCCUUCUUCUGUUCCUUCCACACCCCCUCCUCCCUAUUCUCCUCCACGCUCUCCUGUUCCUUCUUCUGUUCCUUCCACCCCCCCUCCUCCCUAUUCUCCUCCACGCUCUCCUGUUCCUUCUUCUGUUCCUUCCACACCUCCUCCUCCCUAUUCUCCUGUUCCUUCUUGCUCUUGUGCUCCUCCUCAUUCUCCUCCACGCUCUCCUGUUCCUCCUUCUUCUGUUCCUUCCACACCCCCUCCUCCCUAUUCUCCUCCACGCUCUCCUGUUCCUUCUUCUGUUCCUUCCACACCCCCUCCUCCCUAUUCUCCUCCACGCUCUCCUGUUCCUUCUUCUGUUCCUUCCACACCCCUCCUCCCUAUUCUCCUCCACGCUCUCCUGUUCCUUUUCUGUUCCUUCCACACCUCCUCCUCCUAUUCUCCUGUUCCUUCUUCUUUGUGCUCCUCCUCAUUCUCCUCCACGCUCUCCUGUUCCUCCUUCUUCUGUUCCUUCCACACCCUCCCCCCUAUUCUCCUCCACGCUCUCCUGUUCCUUCUUCUGUUCCUUCCACACCCCCUCCUCCCUAUUCUCCUCCACGCUCUCCUGUUCCUUCUUCUGUUCCUUCCACACCCCCUCCUCCCUAUUCUCCUCCACGCUCUCCUGUUCCUUCUUCUGUUCCUUCCACACCCCCUCCUCCCUAUUCUCCUCCACGCUCUCCUGUUCCUUCUUCUGUUCCUUCCACACCCCCUCUUCCCUCUUCUCCUCCACGCUCUCCUGUUCCUUCUUCUGUUCCUUCCACACCCCUCCUCCUUAUUCUCCUGUUCCCUCUUGCUCUCCUGCUCCUCCUCUUUCUCCUCCAUGCUCUUCUGCUCUUUCUCUUCUGUUCACCUUCACCCCCUCCUCCUUCUCUUCUGGUUCCACCUAUUGUGGCUCCUUCUGAGCUGCCGUGUGUUCCCGAUGCUGGCCUUUUCCUGUCUCCUGUUAUUCAGGACUCAGGCUCCAUAG
rnacentral:lncRNA from 1 species